UACGUAGGGUGCGAGCGUUAAUCGGAAUUACUGGGCGUAAAGCGUGCGCAGGCGGCGCGUUUAAGACAGGUGUGAAGGCCCCCGAGCUUAACUUGGGAAUUGCGCUUGUGACUGGCGUGCUGGAGUGUGGCAGAGGGAGGUGGAAUUCCACGUGUAGCAGUGAAAUGCGUAGAGAUGUGGAGGAACACCGAUGGCGAAGGCAGCCUCCUGGGCCAGCACUGACGCUCAUGCACGAAAGCGUGGGGGAGCAAACAGG
rnacentral:rRNA from 1 species